rnacentral:rRNA from 1 species
CCUACGGGAGGCAGCAGUGAGGAAUAUUGGUCAAUGGCCGGAAGGCUGAACCAGCCAAGCCGCGUGAAGGACGAAGGUGCCAAGCAUUGUAAACUUCUUUUGUCAAGGGACAAAAUCAUGCUCGCGUGCCUUACCGCGUGUACUUUACGAACAAGCAUCGGCUAACUCCGUGCCCGCAGCCGCGGUACUAGGGGGGAUGCGAGCGUUAUCCGGAUUUAUUGGGUUUAAAGGGUGCGUCGGCGGACUGUUAAGUCAGCGGUAAAAGCCCGGGGCUCAACCCCGGCGAGCCGUUGAAACUGGCUGGCUUGAGAUGGCGAGGGAGGGGCAGAAUGCGCAGUGUAGCGGUGAAAUGCUUAGAGAUUGCGCAGAACUCCGAUGGCGAAGGCAGCAUACCGG